GAUGAACGCUGGCGGCGUGCCUAAUACAUGCAAGUCGAGCGAACAGACGAGGAGCUUGCUCCUUCGACGUUAGCGGCGGACGGGUGAGUAACACGUAGGUAACCUACCUAUAAGACUGGGAUAACUUCGGGAAACCGGAGCUAAUACCGGAUAAUAUUUCGAACCGCAUGGUUCGAUAGUGAAAGAUGGCUUUGCUAUCACUUAUAGAUGGACCUGCGCCGUAUUAGCUAGUUGGUAAGGUAACGGCUUACCAAGGCAACGAUACGUAGCCGACCUGAGAGGGUGAUCGGCCACACUGGAACUGAGACACGGUCCAGACUCCUACGGGAGGCAGCAGUAGGGAAUCUUCCGCAAUGGGCGAAAGCCUGACGGAGCAACGCCGCGUGAGUGAUGAAGGUCUUCGGAUCGUAAAACUCUGUUAUUAGGGAAGAAAAAACGUGUAAGUAACUGUGCACGUCUUGACGGUACCUAAUCAGAAAGCCACGGCUAACUACGUG
rnacentral:rRNA from 1 species